GACGAACGCUGGCGGCGUGCUUAACACAUGCAAGUCGAACGGUAAGGCCCUUCGGGGUACACGAGUGGCGAACGGGUGAGUAACACGUGGGCAACCUGCCUCAUAGAGGGGAAUAGCCUUCCGAAAGGGAGAUUAAUACCGCACAAGAUUGUAGCUUCGCAUGAAGCAGCAAUUAAAGGAGUAAUCCGCUAUGAGAUGGGCCCGCGGCGCAUUAGCUAGUUGGUGAGGUAACGGCUCACCAAGGCGACGAUGCGUAGCCGACCUGAGAGGGUGAUCGGCCACAUUGGGACUGAGACACGGCCCAGACUCCUACGGGAGGCAGCAGUGGGGAAUAUUGCACAAUGGGGGAAACCCUGAUGCAGCAAUGCCGCGUGAGUGAUGACGGCCUUCGGGUUGUAAAGCUCUGUCCUUGGGGACGGUAAUGACGGUACCCGAGGAGGAAGCCACGGCUAACUACGUGCCAGCAGCCGCCGUAA
rnacentral:rRNA from 1 species